rnacentral:rRNA from 1 species
CCUACGGGAGGCAGCAGUGGGGGAUAUUGCACAAUGGGGGGAACCCUGAUGCAGCGACGCCGCGUGGGUGAAGGAGUGCUUCGGCAUGUAAAGCCCUAUCGGCAGGGAGGAAGCAAGACGGUACCUGACUAAGAAGCCCCGGCUAACUACGUGCAAGCAGCCGCGGUAAUACGGAGGGGGCGAGCGUUAUCCGUAUUCACUGGGUGUAAAGGGAGCGUAGGUGGCCAAGCAAGCCAGAAGUGAAAGCCCGGGGCGCAACCCCGGGACUGCCCUUGGCCCUGGAUGGCUGGAGUGCGGUAGGGGCAGGUGGAAUUCCUGGUGUAGCGGUGAAAUGCGUAGAGAUCAGGAGGAAUACCGGCGGCGAAGGCGGCCUGCUGGACGGCGACUGACGUUGAGGUGCGAAAGCGUGGGGAGCGAACAGGAUUAGAUACCCCAGUAGUC